rnacentral:rRNA from 1 species
AGAGUUUGAUCCUGGCUCAGAUUGAACGCUGGCGGCAGGCCUAACACAUGCAAGUCGAGCGGUAGCACAGAGAGCUUGCUCUCGGGUGACGAGCGGCGGACGGGUGAGUAAUGUCUGGGAAACUGCCUGAUGGAGGGGGAUAACUACUGGAAACGGUAGCUAAUACCGCAUAAUGUCGCAAGACCAAAGUGGGGGACCUUCGGGCCUCAUGCCAUCAGAUGUGCCCAGAUGGGAUUAGCUAGUAGGUGGGGUAACGGCUCACCUAGGCGACGAUCCCUAGCUGGUCUGAGAGGAUGACCAGCCACACUGGAACUGAGACACGGUCCAGACUCCUACGGGAGGCAGCAGUGGGGAAUAUUGCACAAUGGGCGCAAGCCUGAUGCAGCCAUGCCGCGUGUGUGAAGAAGGCCUUCGGGUUGUAAAGCACUUUCAGCGGGGAGGAAGGCGGUGAGGUUAAUAACCUCAUCGAUUGACGUUACCCGCAGAAGAAGCACCGGCUAACUCCGUGCCAGCAGCCGCGGUAAUACGGAGGGUGCAAGCGUUAAUCGGAAUUACUGGGCGUAAAGCGCACGCAGGCGGUCUGUCAAGUCGGAUGUGAAAUCCCCGGGCUCAACCUGGGAACUGCAUUCGAAACUGGCAGGCUAGAGUCUUGUAGAGGGGGGUAGAAUUCCAGGUGUAGCGGUGAAAUGCGUAGAGAUCUGGAGGAAUACCGGUGGCGAAGGCGGCCCCCUGGACAAAGACUGACGCUCAGGUGCGAAAGCGUGGGGAGCAAACAGGAUUAGAUACCCUGGUAGUCCACGCCGUAAACGAUGUCGAUUUGGAGGUUGUGCCCUUGAGGCGUGGCUUCCGGAGCUAACGCGUUAAAUCGACCGCCUGGGGAGUACGGCCGCAAGGUUAAAACUCAAAUGAAUUGACGGGGGCCCGCACAAGCGGUGGAGCAUGUGGUUUAAUUCGAUGCAACGCGAAGAACCUUACCUGGUCUUGACAUCCACAGAACUUAGCAGAGAUGCUUUGGUGCCUUCGGGAACUGUGAGACAGGUGCUGCAUGGCUGUUGUCAGCUCGUGUUGUGAAAUGUUGGGUUAAGUCCCGCAACGAGCGCAACCCUUAUCCUUUGUUGCCAGCGGUUAGGCCGGGAACUCAAAGGAGACUGCCAGUGAUAAACUGGAGGAAGGUGGGGAUGACGUCAAGUCAUCAUGGCCCUUACGACCAGGGCUACACACGUGCUACAAUGGCAUAUACAAAGAGAAGCGACCUCGCGAGAGCAAGCGGACCUCAUAAAGUAUGUCGUAGUCCGGAUUGGAGUCUGCAACUCGACUCCAUGAAGUCGGAAUCGCUAGUAAUCGUAGAUCAGAAUGCUACGGUGAAUACGUUCCCGGGCCUUGCACACACCGCCCGUC